UCUGUACGAAUACUACAACUCCAACUCCAACUGGAAAUACCACCACUCCAACGGUGACUACUACCAACGGUACAGGUCUGAUUGCCGGUUGUGUAUGUGGAGCUAUCGUCCUCCUUGUCCUCCUUGCUAUUUUGAUCUGGUGGCUGUGGAAGAAACGCAAAUGUUGUUUCGCGCCAGUAGGUGAAGGAAGUGAAGCUGCUUUGCGUGAUAAUGAAGAGAAACAGGUGGAACUUCUGAAAAUUGCGAAAAAAGGAACGGUCAUACUCGCCCCCAUAGAGGCACCACCUGCCUGGCCGGAGCAAGAUGGCGUCCUGUCAACUUCACCUAAUCCAAAUACUGACAAAACCCCUGGGGAGCUGUCCAAGGAAGAGGAGGCAUUGCCCUCACCGACCACAGGGGGCAAACCGGACGGCGCUACAUCCAAGAAAAAGAAGAAGAAGAAGAAAGGGAGCAGAUCGAACAGGGUCAGUCCUGAACCCGACCAGAUUCCUGCACUGUCGACAGGAGGAAAUGAUGGAUAGCAUUUGCAAAUGCUCUCGUGCUUUCGUGACACAUUCUGGCUGUGUAUUUUGUUUCCUCCAGAACAGUCCACCACCAGCAGUACUUUGUAAGGCUGCUAGCUAUAGCACGGACUCUUAUUUUUGACUCUCACGAAAGUUCUUGUGACUUUGGGCAAGUGAGGAUAAGCAGUGUCAGGUACACUGUAUCGCCUCAGACUCAAUCAAAGCCAUAUUACAUGUAGACCGAAAGCUUCAGUCUCUGAUAUCGACGGUUGUUCCGCUGAGAUUGCAUCUGGCUCCUCUGACCGCCUCUGUGUAUGGGGAAUGUCAACAAAUGUCAGUUUUAUUAAAGAAAUGACCCAUAUGAGACGUUAUUUCUGUCUAUAUUACAUGUAGUUUGCAGCACAGAAAACUUCUUUUGUGCACUUGAACUGCAGCAGAUGUAGAGAAAAGGACAAGAUGUGCAACGGUUGCAUCGGAUAUCUCCCCCUUCCCUUUCCCCAUUGAUGGUCUAUGAGGUGGAGAUAGAGAUUCAGGUGUACUGCAGAGAAGAGUGUCCAGGGG
rnacentral:lncRNA from 1 species